UGGNGGCGAACGGGUGAGUAACACGUGGGCANUCUGCCCUGCACUCUGNGACAAGCCCUGGAAACGGGGUCUAAUACCGGAUACGAGCCGGGGAGGCAUCUCCUCGGUUGGAAAGCUCCGGCGGUGCAGGAUGAGCCCGCGGCCUAUCAGCUUGUUGGUGAGGUAACGGCUCACCAAGGCGACGACGGGUAGCCGGCCUGAGAGGGCGACCGGCCACACUGGGACUGAGACACGGCCCAGACUCCUACGGGAGGCAGCAGUGGGGAAUAUUGCACAAUGGGCGAAAGCCUGAUGCAGCGACGCCGCGUGAGGGAUGACGGCCUUCGGGUUGUAAACCUCUUUCAGCAGGGAAGAAGCGAAAGUGACGGUACCUGCAGAAGAAGCGCCGGCUAACUACGUGCCAGCAGCNCGCGGUAAUACGUAGGGCGCGAGCGUUGUCCCGGAAUUAUUGGGCGUAAAGAGCUCGUAGGGCGGCUUGUCACGUCGGUUGNGAAAGCCCGGGGCUUAACCCCGGGUCUGCAGUNCGAUACNGGGCCAGGCUAGAGUUUCGGUAGGGGAGGAUCGGGAUUUCCU
rnacentral:rRNA from 1 species